GACGGAGGAUGCAAGCGUUAUCCGGAAUUAUUGGGCGUAAAGCGUCCGCAGGUGGCUGUUCAAGUCUGCUGUCAAAGCGCAGAGCUUAACUCUGUACAGGCGGUGGAAACUGAAGAGCUAGAGUAUGGUAGGGGUAGAGGGAAUUCCCGGUGUAGCGGUGAAAUGCGUAGAUAUCGGGAAGAACACCAGUGGCGAAAGCGCUCUACUGGGCCAUAACUGACACUGAGGAGCGAAAGCGUGGGGAGCGAACAGG
rnacentral:rRNA from 1 species